rnacentral:rRNA from 1 species
AAAUUGAAGAGUUUGAUCAUGGCUCAGAUUGAACGCUGGCGGCAGGCCUAACACAUGCAAGUCGAACGGUAACAGGAAGCAGCUUGCUGCUUUGCUGACGAGUGGCGGACGGGUGAGUAAUGUCUGGGAAACUGCCUGAUGGAGGGGGAUAACUACUGGAAACGGUGGCUAAUACCGCAUAACGUCGCAAGACCAAAGAGGGGGACCUUCGGGCCUCUUGCCAUCAGAUGUGCCCAGAUGGGAUUAGCUUGUUGGUGAGGUAACGGCUCACCAAGGCGACGAUCCCUAGCUGGUCUGAGAGGAUGACCAGCCACACUGGAACUGAGACACGGUCCAGACUCCUACGGGAGGCAGCAGUGGGGAAUAUUGCACAAUGGGCGCAAGCCUGAUGCAGCCAUGCCGCGUGUAUGAAGAAGGCCUUCGGGUUGUAAAGUACUUUCAGCGGGGAGGAAGGGAGUAAGGUUAAUAACCUUAUUCAUUGACGUUACCCGCAGAAGAAGCACCGGCUAACU